GGAUCUGAGGUUGAUCUGGCUGCAACAUCAGUCACCCCACUGGUUACCAGGGCUGAUUCCACUCAUCUAGCUGGCUACAUGGGUGUCCACUUGCUCCCGCACCCAUCCAUAUGUAUCCCUCCUGAAGCUACGCACUUGAUCAAAGGGAGGACCUACCCCUAAUAGAGAGGGGCUGGUUUCCUGCUAGA
rnacentral:snRNA from 1 species